CUCUCUAGUGACCGAUAGUGAACCAGUACCGUGAGGGAAAGGUGAAAAGCACCCCGGAAGGGGAGUGAAAUAGAACCUGAAACCGUGUGCUUACAAGUAGUCAGAGCCCGUUAAUGGGUGAUGGCGUGCCUUUUGUAGAAUGAACCGGCGAGUUACGAUUUGAUGCAAGGUUAAGCAGUAAAUGUGGAGCCGUAGCGAAAGCGAGUCUGAAUAGGGCGUUUAGUAUUUGGUCGUAGACCCGAAACCAGGUGAUCUACCCUUGGUCAGGUUGAAGUUCAGGUAACACUGAAUGGAGGACCGAACGACCUUACGUU
rnacentral:rRNA from 1 species